rnacentral:rRNA from 1 species
CCUACGGGUGGCAGCAGUGGGGAAUAUUGGACAAUGGGGGGAACCCUGAUCCAGCCAUGCCGCGUGUGUGAAGAAGGCCCUCGGGUUGUAAAGCACUUUCAGUGAGGAAGAACGCCUGGUGGUGAAUACCCAUCAGGAAAGACAUCACUCACAGAAGAAGCACCGGCUAACUCCGUGCCAGCAGCCGCGGUAAUACGGAGGGUGCGAGCGUUAAUCGGAAUUACUGGGCGUAAAGCGCGCGUAGGUGGCUUGAUAAGCCGGUUGUGAAAGCCCCGGGCUCAACCUGGGAACGGCAUCCGGAACUGUCAAGCUAGAGUGCAGGAGAGGAAGGUAGAAUUCCCGGUGUAGCGGUGAAAUGCGUAGAGAUCGGGAGGAAUACCAGUGGCGAAGGCGGCCUUCUGGACUGACACUGACACUGAGGUGCGAAAGCGUGGGUAGCAAACAGGAUUAGAUACCCCUGUAGUC